rnacentral:rRNA from 1 species
CGGACGGGUGAGUAACGUGUGGGUAACCUGCCUUGUACUGGGGGACAACAGUUAGAAAUGACUGCUAAUACCGCAUAAGCGCACAGUAUCGCAUGAUACAGUGUGAAAAACUCCGGUGGUACAAGAUGGACCCGCGUCUGAUUAGCUAGUUGGUAAGGUAACGGCUUACCAAGGCGACGAUCAGUAGCCGACCUGAGAGGGUGACCGGCCACAUUGGGACUGAGACACGGCCCAA